GGGAUUAAUCAGGUCUGAUCUGAAGCCCCGACUCUUUAGGGACUCUUUAUGGGGCUCUAUUGAUGCCUCAUAAAACAACUUCUUUUUAUACAUUUAUAUCCUCCCUAUGAAAUGGCUAUGUUAGGAAUUUUGUUUCCUUCUGGGAGUUGCUUUUGUCACUUUUGACUCACACCUCACUGUAGUCCUUAGUGAGUGGGCUGUGAUAUUUUCACUUUAAGAAAAAUGAUGAUUUUUUUUAAAUAUGAAGAACUAGAUAUAAGCCCCAGCUUGUGUGCCGUUCAGUCACCCAGAUCCUUAACUUACCUAUGGUACCUAAUCUCCACAGUUAGAGCUAACAGGUUUUCUUAGCCAGUCUAGACUUACUAGAGUCCGUUACUUUGUCCCUUCCCUAUCUAUCUGCUGUAUCCCAGUCUUAAGUCGAAAGGUAAUUUAAAACAUGUUAGGGAUAAGCACACUUUGAAAGAUGUUUUCUCACCCUGAAUUUUAGGACACUGGGUACUAAAUUUGGAAUACACUAGCUAUUGAGAACAAAAUUUGGGGUUCAAGAAAGGGAUGAUUGAGGCUGUUAUGAUACGGGAGAAACAGCAUCUUAAACACUGUAAACAGAACUCUUCUGCCUGCUGUUUGUAAAAGCUCUCUGGUAAGAUCUUUUACAAAGACCAAUUUUCUUUUUUAAAUGUAAUUUACCUACCUAAUAUUUAAAUGUCCUGAGACAUGUAUGUAAACUUCCAAAACCUGUUUGUCUGUGUAUUUAGAAAAUACACAAGAAUCUAUCAAACUUAAAAUAUAAACUUGUGAGCACUAAA
rnacentral:lncRNA from 1 species